rnacentral:rRNA from 1 species
UUCCAGACUCCUACGGGAGGCAGCAGUCGGGAAUAUUGCGCAAUGGAGGAAACUCUGACGCAGUGACGCCGCGUAUAGGAAGAAGGUUUUCGGAUUGUAAACUAUUGUCAUUAGGGAAGAAAAAAGACAGUACCUAAAGAGGAAGCUCCGGCUAACUACGUGCCAGCAGCCGCGGUAAUACGUAGGGGGCAAGCGUUAUCCGGAUUUACUGGGUGUAAAGGGAGCGUAGACGGCAGCGCAAGUCUGAAGUGAAAUGCCGGGGCUUAACCCCGGAACUGCUUUGGAAACUGUGCAGCUAGAGUGCAGGAGAGGUAAGUGGAAUUCCUAGUGUAGCGGUGAAAUGCGUAGAUAUUAGGAGGAACACCAGUGGCGAAGGCGGCUUACUGGACUGUAACUGACGUUGAGGCUCGAAAGCGUGGGGAGCAAACAGGAUUAGAUACCCCGGUAAC